GCUCACUUCGGCAGUGCCUAUAUUAAAAUUGGAACUAUACAGAGAAGAUUAGCAUGACCCCUGUGCAAGGAUGACAUGCUUUAUGAAGCAUUCUGUAUUCUUUUU